CUCCAUGCCUCAUUGCCUUUGUCCUCUGCUUCCUAUCUCCAUUUGCCACACCCUGCUUGUCGUGUACUCUUGCAAGUAGUGAUGAAGCUUCAUGAAGCCUUGACGCCUUCCAGCCAGUUGCAGAUGGAGGAGGACUAGCAUUGAUAUUGGCAGCAGGAACAAUGGAUGGAGUGAGAUGGAGUUCGGCGAACAACAACGUUCCAUGGCCCGAAAACAUCCAAUCUGACCUUUGUAAAUGGAGGUUCGGAGGUAAGUCUGUCUGUCGGCAAGUCUGACAUCUUUUGUUCCGUUAACUUUCCUCU